AUGAUUCGAAGCUCCUUUCCCAGUUUCAGGAGAUUGCUUCUGCAGAAUGUUUCGCCUUCUGCGUCCUCCAAGGUUUGUCUUACUUUCCUACGUUUUCUUUUCCAUCCUCUUCUUAUGAAUGCGCUUCAUCGUACACUGUUUCAGAUGCAAGCUUUUAAGAUCAUUGUUAUGAAAACAACAAGUUUAGCUUAUGCGGUAGAAUGACACUAAAAUUCGUUAUGUUUUUAAUGUAUAUGUAGUUCAUAUAAUCUUUUCAGGUCAUUCUUAUGAAGAAAAUGUUUAACACCUAUUUAAAAUAUUUACACUAUUAACUUGUGUAAAUCUAGGGAAAUCAAAAUGUCUGAAAGAAUAUUGAUUAUCAUGUUCGUGAUAAAUAUUUCAUAUAUUUUUGGCAUUUUUUUUCCAAGAUAACAUAAAAUGUAUGCGUAAUGAACAGAGAAGUAUCACUUAAGUUAAUAAUAAAUUAAAGGUUUAAUAGGUUCGGAGGUUCCUAUAUUUAGAGGUUUGUUUCAAUUGGGUCCUCCAAUUUUGAAAGUGAUCUUCCUAAUUUUGUCAAUUUGAAUCAAUAAAAGUCUUUCCGUUAAAUGUAGUUAACACCGUGAAGUUUUUAAACAUGUGGCACGCUAACGCUUCCAGGUGGCAUCGUUUAAAGUGCAUAAAAGGGUGAAAUUCCUAAAAGGGAUUUCACCUUCAAAUACACCCUUUUAAUUUAAGGAUUUCACCCUUUUAUAAUCCAUCUAUGCACAUGAAACCAUGUCACCUGGAAGCGUCAGCAUGCUACAUGUUCAAAAAUUUCACGACGUUAACUGCAUUUAACAGAAAAACUUUUAUUAAUUCAAAUUGACAAAAUUAGAGACCUAAUUGAUUACUUCAAAAAUUGGAAGAUCCAAUUGAAACAAACCUCGACCUCAUAACCUAUUAAACCUAAAUUAAAAUAAACAUUUGAACCCAAAUCCACUAUAGUGUAUCUAAGUAGUAAAGAAGAGACCAACCUCUUGUAAAUUUUCUUAUAGUACAGAAGUACUGUUUGAUGGACCAUUAUGCCGUCGGCAGCCACGACUGUACAAAUUCUGGAGAUGCUCAUCUGACAAAGACAGAUAACUACUGUGUAUCAUCUUCAAG
rnacentral:lncRNA from 1 species